rnacentral:rRNA from 1 species
UGGGGGAAUUUUUGGACAAUGGGGGGAAACCCUGAUCCGGCCAUCCCGCGUGUGCGAUGAAGGCCUUUCGGGUUGUAAAGCACUUUUGGCAGGAAAGAAACGUCGCGGGUUAAUACCCCGCGAAACUGACGGUACCUGCAGAAUAAGCACCGGCUAACUACGUGCCAGCAGCCGCGGUAAUACGUAGGGUGCAAGCGUUAAUCGGAAUUACUGGGCGUAAAGCGUGCGCAGGCGGUUCGGAAAGAAAGAUGUGAAAUCCCAGAGCUUAACUUUGGAAACUGCAUUUUUAACUACCGGGCUAGAGUGUGUCAGAGGGAGGUGGAAUUCCGCGUGUAGCAGUGAAAAUGCGUAAGAUAUGCGGAGGAACACCGAUGGCGAAGGCAGCCUCCUGGGAUAACACUGACGCUCAUGCACGAAAAGCGUGGGGGAGCAAACAGGAUUAGAUACCCU